UUACUAUGAACUUGACUUUGAUGCCA
rnacentral:piRNA from 1 species